AGAUUGAACGCUGGCGGCAUGCCUAACACAUGCAAGUCGAACGGGAGUAGCAAUACUCUAGUGGCGGACGGGUGAGGAAUACGUAGGAAUUUGCCCUUAAGUGGGGGAUAACCCGGGGAAACCCGGAUUAAUACCGCAUGACCUCGAAAGAGCAAAGUGGGGGAUCGCAAGACCUCACGCUUUUGGAGAAGCCUACGUCGGAUUAGCUAGUUGGUGAGGUAAUGGCUCACCAAGGCGACGAUCCGUAACUGGUCUGAGAGGAUGAUCAGUCACACCGGAACUGAGACACGGUCCGACUCCGUACGGGAGGCAGCAGGUGGGGAAUAUUGGACAAGUGGGCGCAAGCCUGAUCCAGCAAUGCCGCGUGUGUAGAAGAAGGUCCGUUCGGUUGUAAAGCUACGUUUAAGUUAGGGAAAGAAAAACGUCCGACUACUAACACAGUAGUAGUCUUCGACGUACCGA
rnacentral:rRNA from 1 species